rnacentral:rRNA from 1 species
AGUGAAGCGGCAACAGCUCAAAUUUGAAAUCUGGCCUCUUCGGGGUCCGAGUUGUAAUUUGUAGAGGGUGUUUCGGGCGCGAUGCCGGUCUAAGUUCCUUGGAACAGGACGUCGUAGAGGGUGAGAAUCCCGUACGCGACCGGCGAUCAAGCCUGUGUGAAGCCCCUUCGACGAGUCGAGUUGUUUGGGAAUGCAGCUCAAAAUGGGUGGUAAAUUUCAUCUAAAGCUAAAUAUUGGCCAGAGACCGAUAGCGGACAAGUAGAGUGAUCGAAAGAUGAAAAGCACUUUGGAAAGAGAGUCAAACAGUACGUGAAAUUGUUGAAAGGGAAGCGCUUGCAAUCAGACCGGUCCGGAGGCGAUCAGCCGCUGCUCGUUCAGCGGUGCACUCGCCUGCGAUCCGGCCAGCAUCGGUUUGGGCGGUGGGAUAAAAGUCCCGGGAAUGUAGCUUCUCUCGGGGAGUCUUAUAGCCCGGGUCGCAAUGCCGCCCGCCCGGACCGAGGACCGCGCUCGGCUAGGAN